AAAUAAGUUCAUCCUUAAAACAGAAACGGCGUCUCAGUUAAGAUACAUUUUUAUAAAAUGAAGUAUUUUCUUUUACUUUUCGUUUUGUUUGUAUUUUUUGCCGUGGCUCUCGCAGAUAGUGGAUGUAAUGUUGUACCAUGCAGUAGCUAUUGUCAACAGACUGGACACUUUGGAGGAUACUGCGUAGGACCCAAUUUGAGUACUUGUCAUUGUUACGACCUUCACGGCAAAAACUGAAACUGUUAUAAGAAACACACAGAAACAAAAUUCCAUUAGAUUGUAUAUUUCACGUAUUAUAUAUAAACUAUAUCAAAAACGUA